rnacentral:tRNA from 1 species
GGGUCGGUAGUUCAGCGGCAAGAAUAUCGGUCUCCAAAACCGAAGACGUGAGUUCGAUUCCCACCCGACCUG